UAGGGAAUCUUCCACAAUGGACGCAAGUCUGAUGGAGCAACGCCGCGUGAGUGAAGAAGGUUUUCGGAUCGUAAAGCUCUGUUGUUGGUGAAGAAGGAUAGAGGCAGUAACUGGUCUUUAUUUGACGGUAAUCAACCAGAAAGUCACGGCUAACUACGUGCCAGCAGCCGCGGUAAUACGUAGGGGGCAAGCGUUGUCCGGAUUUAUUGGGCGUAAAGCGAGCGCAGGCGGAAUGAUAAGUCUGAUGUGAAAGCCCACGGCUCAACCGUGGAACUGCAUCGGAAACUGUCAUUCUUGAGUGCAGAAGAGGAGAGUUGAAUUCCAUGUGUAGCGGUGGAAUGCGUAGAUAUAUGGAAGAACACCCGUGGCGAAGGCGGCUCUCUGGUCUGCAACUGACGCUGAGGCUCGAAAGCAUGGGUAGCGAACAGG
rnacentral:rRNA from 1 species